rnacentral:misc_RNA from 1 species
ACAAACUUGGUCAUUUAGAGGAAGUAAAAGUCGUAACAAGGUUUCCGUAGGUGAACCUGCGGAAGGAUCAUUAAAGAAUUGUUCCAACGCUUUUUGUUGGACAGUCAAAUCCAUCUUUACUCACCCUUGUGUGCACAGUAGUCGAGUUUUGCUCUGGAGUAGGUCGGCCGGUCCUUUUGGAUUUUCUUUCUCUGUUUUGGAGGAAAAGAUUUGGGAGGAAUGGUGUGAUCUGCCUCAUGGUAUUACUUAAUUUUUUUCCAAAUCACGCAUAUUUUUUUACUUUUUGUCUGAAAACCAAGAAUUAAAACUUGUACAAAUAUAACUUUCAACAACGGAUCUCUUGGCUCUCGCAUCGAUGAAGAACGCAGC